CCGAGUUCUCUGCAACUCCCAACCCUGUGAACCAUACCAAACUCUGUUCUCGUUGCUUUCUGGCGGGCGGCCUGCCCGCCUGCCAGGGGCGACUUGCGCAAACCUUCUUUUUUUUCGUACCUGAACCGUCUGAGCAACGAUUUUUACAAAUCAAAUCA
rnacentral:misc_RNA from 1 species